ACUAACUAGGAUUCCCUUAGUAGCGGCGAGCGAACAGGGAAAAGCCCAGCACUGAAUCGCGCGGCCCACCGGGACGCUGCGAAAUGUAGUGUUUGGGAGGGUCCAUUAUUCCGCGGUCUGGCGAUGCGUCCAAGUCCUUCUUGAACGGGGCCACUUACCCAUAGAGGGUGCCAGGCCCGUAGUGACCGUCACCGGCUGCGGAAGGAUCUCUCCUUAGAGUCGGGUUGCUUGAGAGUGCAGCCCUAAGUGGGUGGUAAACUCCAUCUAAGGCUAAAUAUAACCACGAGACCGAUAGCGAACAAGUACCGUGAGGGAAAGUUGAAAAGAACUUUGAAGAGAGAGUUCAAUAGUACGUGAAACCGUUUAAGGGUAAACCUGAGAAACCCGAAAGUUCGAACGAGGAGAUUCAGUGUGUCUCGUCGGGUGCGAGCAGUGUUUGGUAGACAGUUGUCGUUCGCGGCGAUUGCUCCUUAUGUUGCCGUUGCUUGGCGAACGCAUGCACUUCUCCUCCAGUAGGACGUCGCGACCCGUUGGGUGUCGGUCUGAGGCCCGCAGUGGAGCCCGUGCGUCGGUUUCGGCCGUGCGUGCGGACCUGUGGUGUCCCGUCCGGCUGCUCGACGGUAGACUAGAGGCGCAGAGCCGCGACUAGCUCGCGUUCGGCCCGAUGCAAGCGCGGCCGGUUACUCGAACGUCGGACUUGUGCCGAUUUCGGGGCCGGUCGACUGUUGGUGUCGGUGUUCCCGAACAGACUCUGUACACGCCUGUCAGCGGCGCUAUAGCUUUGGGUACUUUCAGGGCCCGUCUUGAAACACGGACCAAGGAGUCUAGCAUGUGCGCGAGUCAUUGGGACUAUCGAAUCCUAAAGGCGUAAUGAAAGUGAAGGCUGAGCCUGCUCUGUCGAGGGAAGAUGGGUGACUUAACCGUUGCCUCGCAUUCCCGGGGCGUCUCAUUCUCAUUGCGAGAAGAGGCGCACCUAGAGCGUACAUGCUGGGACCCGAAAGAUGGUGAACUAUGCCUGGUCAGGACGAAGUCAGGGGAAACCCUGAUGGAGGUCCGUAGCGAUUCUGACGUGCAAAUCGAUCGUCGGAACUGGGUAUAGCUGCGAAAGACUAAUCGAACCAUCUAGUAGCUGGUUCCCUCCGAAGUUUCCCUCAGGAUAGCUGGCGCUCGUAUUACGAGUUUCAUCCGGUAAAGCGAAUGAUUAGAGGCAUUGGGGUCGAAACGUCCUCAACCUAUUCUCAAACUUUAAAUGGGUGAGAUCUCCGGCUUGCUUAAAAGUCUUUGACUUGAAGCCGCGAGAAUGAACGAAUCAGAG
rnacentral:rRNA from 1 species